CUGGAUCGAUUUCAUUUAUGUUUAUAAAGUUAUAUAUAUAUGUCUUUUACUAUAUAUUAGCAUUGAGAGUUUAAUUGCAUAUGUCUGCUCAUAUACUUAUGACUGUUCUGUUAACAUUAUAUACAUCAUACAAGAUCUCAAAAGGAACUAUAUACAAUAGCUACAGUAGUAGCUUUUAUAUUUUCAAUGAUUCAGAAAGGAAUCCUGUAACUAGCAGGACUCACUCUCCUGCUUUCUCCUUUCUUUUCCCUGCGAUAGUACAAAAAACAUUAUCCCUAAGCAAAAUGCUUAGUGAUGCAUAUAUAUAUAUAUAUAUAUAUAAUCAAGUGUAAAUUCAUAUUUUUUCCAAUGUUAACCAUAACUGUAAAUAAAACUUCAUAUGAAAAUUCUUUUGAUUGAAUCUUUCUUAAAAAUCAAUCUUUCUUUCAACUGAGUAAGUAAUUAUAUUAAUAAUAGUGAAAGAAAUUCUCUGCUCAAAAUCAAUAAUUAUCUGUGUGAAAAUGGUUACACAACAUCAUAAUAAUAGGAAAAGCAUUAAUUCAAGAAGCUUGACAAUAUUCAAUUUAGUCUCAACAGCUUAAAUAGACCGAAGGGCCAUCAAUGUUCUAUGAGCUCAUUAAGACAAAGCUUCUCAACCUCAAUCUAUGAUUUAUAUCUCAAUAGAAGAGAGACAAUCUCAAUCUCAUUUAAGAGGAAAUAAUAUUAUUUUUUAUCAUUCAUUUCCAUAUCAAUAACAAUAUCAACUUCAACAAAUAAAGUGAUAUCGGUAGGGCAAUAACCAUCUCUAUCAGCUGUUGUGAGACUAUAAAUCAUUUUAUAUAUUAAAUAUAAUUGAAAACAAAUUCAGCAAUAUUCAAUUUCCACAAACACUACUAAAUUCAAUCACAGCCAGCCCUCAUACUACAAAUAGUAAUUGGCCAACAUCCUCCUUCCCAAAUAAAUAACUUUCAAUUUAACUUUUAUAAAUCAUAAGGUAUCAAAUCAUGCUUCUUUCCUUUGAAAUCCAUAACACCUUUAUUUCAAUAUUUUCCUUUUUAUCAUAAAUCACUUUAUGAAAUUAAAUAUGAAAUCAAAUACAUUUUGACUUUAAACAAAUAAGAAAGGAGUAUUGCACUAACCUGAAUUAGAAGGCUCCCCUAGCCUUUCUCCUCGAAUUAUUGACUUAAUAUUUAUAUCAACUUCAUACUACUCAAUAAACACACACAUACUAUCAUAAGAAUGCAAAUUAAGUAUUGAAAUGUAGCAUUCAUGCUUUUCCUUCAAUUUCACUAUGCUUAAUCAAGUACCAUAUGCUUUUCCUUCAAUAAUGGCACUCAAUAACAUAUUAAAAGUGUGCUCAAUUCAUUGUUAACAAAUGGAAUUCAAGAUUUUAAUCACAUGAGUAGCAUGUCUUCCCUUAGCUAUAUCUCUAGUUUCUUAAAUCUAUUUAUGCUGAAAUUUUAUAGCAUCUUCCUCACAUAUUAGGCUAGUCCCAUAUAAAAUUUCAUGAAUUUUAGAGCUCAUUUUUACAGCCAAAUAACCUAAACAUCGUACUUGAUUUUCAGUUAGUCUUUCCACUCAGCAGCUUGCAUUCGUUUAAUUAUAACUCCAUUUCUCCUCAUCUAUUGUACUAAUCCUUUUAUCACAACCUUUUCCAACAUCCUAAUAUAGCUCCCUGUAAAAUUUCAUGAUUUUUAGAGCUCAUUUACCUAUUUAACUAAUUCAAUCUUUGUGACUAAAUUUUCAGAUAGCUCACAUAUAAUAACCUUUCAAUGAGUUUACCUUUGUUAUCUCCUUCCAUCAAUCAUGAAAUUCAAUCCCAUAACCUUUAUUAGUUCAUCUAUACUAUCAUUAGACUUCAUAGUCAGCCACUACAAAUCAUCAACAAGACCAAUUCAUGAAUUUUCUUCCUCUUUUCUAAUUCCAAGCAUAAUUUCAUCAUUAAAUCAUUUCAAACAACUUAUUAUCCUCUUAAAUUCUAAUUAAAAUAAUUUGGUUACAAAACCCUUAAUUCACAUACUUAAUCUUAAAACCUGAUUUACAAAACUAUAUGUGUAGUUAUCAAUUAAAUCAUAUAGUCUUGAAAUAUAGGAAGAAUUACUAACCUCUUUCACUUCCAAACUUGAUUUCCAUCUUUAAUUAAGUCCUCCUUCCUUUCCUUAGUGCUUGGCCAAAUAUGGAGAAGAAGAAAGAAGCUUUCA
rnacentral:lncRNA from 1 species